rnacentral:lncRNA from 1 species
ACUCAGCUUCAGGUUACUCUAAACACAUUGCUGUGUAGACUCUUAUUGAGAUUUUCAUCCUCUCUUUAGGAGUCCCUGGGCUAGUGGUGAGGCCCUGAGUAAAUGACCCCAGCAGCACAUCACCUGCUGCCAGCACUUCCACGCACAAGUUACACAGAAGGACGAAAAAUGGGACAGCAGAGUCGGGGCCAAGCCUCCAAUUGAUGGAUAAGCUACCAUGAGUCGAUCCCGAUUCCUCAAUUCUCUGCACUGGAGAGUGGUAGCUGGACACAGGGCUCUACCCCUGGCCCCUGCCGUGCUGCCUGCUUUGAGGGUGAGUCUGGCUUCUAGGAACACCUGCCUCUCUGCAGGUUCACACCUAGCAUCCUGCUCAGCUGACCCCAGCUAAGGACCCAGGUCCUGGCCGCAGGGCUGGGGAGCUGGGAGGAAGGAUGCUCCUGCCAGCAGUGACUCCGGACCUCCAGCUGCAUGACCCUCUCUGGUCGGGCGGGCGAGGCACGCCCCAAGGAUCUCUCCACAGAGGAUGUGGAGAGAUUGGGCCACCACAGGCUGCGCGGCACAUUCAGAGCCCUAACAAAGCUGGCGACAAUCGACCGGGCCUGCCAUUAUCCAUUCAGUGGGUGUAAUAAAUGAGCCAGGCGCAGCCUGCCAUAUACCACCCG